UCCCCCCCUUAAACCCCGCCCCCUAAAACCAAACAAACCUUCAGGGAGUUUCCCACCCUUCCUGUGGAAUUAAGAUGUGUUCUGGGCAUCCUUGAUGGAGAGUCCGGCAGAAGACCUUCGUAGCAUCCAGGUGACCACGUGGAAGCAUUUCCCCUUUGCCUCGGGGACGGUUCCAUAGCCUCCCAGCUGUGAUUUCCCAUCAUCUGCUUUGCCUUGUCAAGGCUGCAGCCGCAGGGGUGCCCAAGGUCAUUCGCUGGCCCUUUAGCACGGUCGCACCCCUGAAGGCCAGCCUCGCAGGAGUGGUUUCCUCUGGACGGUCCAAAGACCUGGACACAGUCCGCAGCUUAGCUUCAAAGGCCCCAUCCCAUACCCUUCCGUUCCCACUUUAUCUUCUUUUUUUUUCUUGUAUAUGAAAAAAGGACAACCCCUGCUCAUUGAGGGUUUUGGAAGCGGCCUCAAGCAGGAUGGGUCGAGCUCUCUCUCGACUUCCAAGGAAUCCCAUCUAGCAGCUUCUGUGGGCAAAGGGAGAAUAGUUGGAGGGGCCCUUCCUUUCGGUCCAAAUCCUCCCCAGAACCCGGCCUCAGGAAAGGCCACCUGACCCUCUGCUCCCUUCAUGCCUUUCCCUUAGGAGCCCUCCUCCAGAGCACCCCAGUCACAGGGCUAGAAGAAAGAACGCUGCAGCUUCUUCUGACCGGUAAGGCACGGGAGCGAUGGGGGCGAUCGGGUCUCGUUGCCCACCUCAAUACUCUCCCCUUGCUGAAAGAAUGGGUGGGUCGUUGGGGGGAAGAAAGGGAGGGAAGAUGAAGAUUCCUUUUGCUUCCAAAAGGAGGCCCCACCAUAAAAUACGGAUUUGACCAGCCAUUGACCAGCCAUUGGAUUCUGGAGGGUCUGGAGGAAGUCCAAGCAUUGAGCUCCCGCUUUGGCUGCCUAAUGGUUUGAUCCGUGGAUGCUUUGCCCACCUCUUGUUUCAGGGCUCGUGCCGUUGCAGGGGGACGCGGGCACGAACCUGGAAUUGGCAGUGGACGCUCUGGAGGACCACAUCCGUCGAAAGUGGGCACAGGUUCGGGACGACGCCACAAGUGGAAGCCGCAUCACUCAGAAUUCAGCCACAUGGUACCGGUGGCUACUUGGAUUUUGCCGGCACUAAAUGCCAUCCAUCGAGAGCAAAGGCUUCACCCCAUGAAAGAGAACUUCUACAGCCGGGCAUUCUGGGCAACAACAGCUGCAUCAUCGGCAAAGAGCCAGUCCUGCAUGCAUUUCAGCUGGACUUUGCUUUCCGCUCUCAAUCUAGAAACAUUAA
rnacentral:lncRNA from 1 species